CUCUAGGGCACACAAGAUGGUCCCUUCAUGUGAACUGAAUAUCAGCAUUCUUUCAGAGAGGUAGGGUGUGAAUGUGCUUAUCAAAUUUGCACAAAUAACUCCGAACCGCUGAACCAUGAUGCUGCCCGCCUGUGCUCCCUCCAGCCCUCCACCUGCUGCUCUCUGCUCAGGCCCUCCCCUGAGAUGACUAGUGAAAGCCUGAAGUCCUCUUAAGCCAGUGUGAUGUCAUCAUCACCAUGCAAAAGAACUCCUUUCCUAAAUGAAAUCAUAUAAGAAAAACAACAUGAAGAAGAAAUCAAAGGAAUAAAGAAAGCUCUGGGCAGAUUACA
rnacentral:lncRNA from 1 species